GACGAACGCUGGCGGCGUGCUUAACACAUGCAAGUCGAACGGAAAGGCCCUGCUUUUGUGGGGUGCUCGAGUGGCGAACGGGUGAGUAACACGUGAGUAACCUGCCCUUGACUUUGGGAUAACUUCAGGAAACUGGGGCUAAUACCGGAUAGGAGCUCCUGCUGCAUGGUGGGGGUUGGAAAGUUUCGGCGGUAGGAGAUGGACUCGCGGCUUAUCAGCUUGUUGGUGGGGUAGUGGCUUACCAAGGCUUUGACGGGUAGCCGGCCUGAGAGGGUGACCGGCCACAUUGGGACUGAGAUACGGAGCGGACGCCUACGGGAGGCAGCAGUGGGGAAUAUGACACAAUGGGCGGACGCCUGAUGCAGCAACGCCGCGUGCGGGAUGACGGCUUUCGGGUUGUAAACCGCUUACGCCUGUGACGAAGCGUGAUUGACGGUAAUGGGUAAAGAAGCACCGGCUAACUACGUG
rnacentral:rRNA from 1 species